GCCGAAGUGGUGAAAUUGGUAGACACGACGGACUCAAAAUCCGUUGGGCUUUGCCCGUGAGGGUUCAAGUCCCUCCUUCGGUACCA
rnacentral:tRNA from 1 species